rnacentral:rRNA from 1 species
AGCGGCGGACGGGUGAGUAAUGCUUAGGAAUAUGCCUUAUAGUGGGGGACAACAUUUGGAAAGGAAUGCUAAUACCGCAUGAUUUCUACGGGCGAAAGCAGGGGACCUUCGGGCCUCGCGCUAUCAGAUGAGCCCAAGUGGGAUUAGCUAGUUGGUGAGGUAAUGGCUCACCAAGGCGACGAUCCGUAGCUGGUUUGAGAGGAUGAUCAGUCACACUGGGACUGAGACACGGUCCAGACUCCUACGGGAGGCAGCAGUGGGGAAUAUUGCACAAUGGGCGCAAGCCUGAUGCAGCCAUGCCGCGUGUGUGAAGAAGGUCUUCGGGUUGUAAAGCACUUUCAGUAAGGAGGAAAGGCUUUGUUUUAAUAGCUUUGAGUUGUGACGUUACUGACAGAAGAAGCACCGGCUAACUUCGUGCCAGCAGCCGCGGUAAUACGGAGGGUGCGAGCGUUAAUCGGAAUUACUGGGCGUAAAGCGUGCGCAGGUGGUUUGUUAAGUGAGAUGUGAAAGCCCCGGGCUCAACCUGGGAACUGCAUUCAGAACUGGCAAACUAGAGUGUGACAGAGGGUGGUGGAAUUUCCUGUGUAGCGGUGAAAUGCGUAGAUAUCUGAAGGAACACCGAUGGCGAAGGCAACCACCUGGGUCAAUACUGACACUCAUGUGCGAAAGCGUGGGGAGCAAACAGGAUUAGAUACCCUGGUAGUCCACGCCGUAAACGAUGUCUACUAG